rnacentral:lncRNA from 1 species
AGUUAUUUGUGGUACUUGGCAUAGUCCACAGGAUCCUGCACCAAAAGGGUAAGCACCCCGGGUAGAAAAAUGAAGGGGGGACUUUCAAAAUUAACAAAGCACUGAAAAGGUAUUCGACCCAGGUUGAGAAAACAAAAGGGAGAUUUUCAGAAUUAACAUGGGAUACUUCCAGUCCUUAAAGGAAAAAUAUGUGGAGUUACUGCAAGGAUUAUUAUAUUCCACAGGUAUAAAACAUCUCAUAAGAGACUCAAGAAGUUAUUUUAAAUGAUAGAAUGUCAUUGUUACAGGUUCCAGUAUAAAACCAAGGUCCAGUUAAAUUGAGAGAAAUGGAAACUGGUUCAGAAAGAGCUCCAUAAGCAGCAUCAGGCUAGAAAUGUUAUUUCUUUAAGGAUUUGAACACUGUGUAGUGCUAUUACUCAAGCAUUACAAUUAUUAGAGAGAAAUAAUAAAAAGGGUUCUAAUCAUGAAAGCAAAGUUGAUACAUCAGAAUCUGAUACUAAAGUUAAUAAAAUGGAGCCCAAGGAAAAUAUCUGUGAUACUGCAGAUGAUUUUUCUACAUCAAACCUGGAAAAUGAGUUGGGGAUGUGGCUCAAGCAGUAGCGCGCUCGCCUGGCAUGCGUGCGGCCCGGGUUCGAUCCUCAGCACCACAUACAAACAAAGAUGUUGUGUCUGCCGAAAAACCAAAAAAUAAAUAUUAAAAUUCUCUCUCUCUCUCUCUCUCUCUCUCUCUCUCCCUCUCUCUAAAAAAAAAACCUGGAAAAUAAGGGGGAUUCAGAAAGUUCAGAUAGCAACUCUAGUAUGAAACAAAUAAUGGAGGCCUUUGUGGAAAAAAUGAAAUUAAAAAAUCAAUGGUCCUCUCUUAAACCUACUGUUCUUCCUAAGGCUUCUCUCUUUCAAAUGACAAAGUCUAAAGUUGAUGUGGGUAGAGAACAAUAGUGCUUUUCAUUUCCUCUUACUAUGAUAUAUGAUGAUGAUGAUCUUACAGCUUCCCAUGGCUGUUUUGUUAAUCCACCACAUUUAUUUUCUAUAACUAGAAAACAAAACAUAAUCUCAAAAUGAUUGAUUAUAAUCUCCAAAUGAUUGAUUAUAAUUACACUGCAUUGGAAUACAAGCUUAUAAAGAAUUUAAAAGCUGCAAUCUCUCAAUAUAGCACUUAGUGUCAUUUUGUAGUAGGUAUGUUAGAAAAUUUGGGAACUUCUAAAUUACUUAUUCCUUUGGACUGGGAGGCAUUAGUAAAAACAGUUUUAGAAGGAUCUCAGUGGUUAUAAUUUGGAAGUUGGUGUGAAGAUGAGGCACGAAAACCAGCAAGAGAGAAUGAGACUUAUAAUCCCCCUGGACCUAUGGAGUAUAAGUUAAUGGGGAAAGGUAAUUACUGUGCAUUUAGAGAGCAGGCUCAGUAUACAGAUCAAGAUAUCCAACCAGUUUGACAGGUUUUCUUGAGAGCUUGGAGACAUGUAAUACCCAAUGGUCAAGCACAAACUUCCACCAUUAAAACCAUAUAAGGGGCUACUGAAUCUUAUACUGAUAUUCUUGCAAGACUGUGUAAUGCUGUAAUGAUUUCAGUGGGUCAAGAUCAAAUAGCAAAGCUAUUAUUAAAAACAUUAGCAUUUAAAAAUGCAAACCCUGAAUGUAAACAUAUUUUUAGACCAUUAAAAGAACAAACAAAACUACAUUGAGUGAAUAUAUGAGAGCUUGUUCUGGAGUGGGAGGGAUUGAACAUCAAACUUCCAUAUUUGCUGCAGUCAUAGCUGCAGACUUUGAACCCAAUAAAUCGGGAACUUUUUUCAAUUGUGGAAAAGUAGGUCAUUUUCAAAAAGAUUGUUGCAAACCUGAACUCGAAGUAGACUAAACUAAUUACUGUCCGGUCAUUUUUUCUAAGACACUUGCUUUUUCUUAGAUUCUAUAUUUUUUGAGCUCAUGAUUUUGAUCCUACAAACCUAGGGUAAUGUUUUCAUAAUCAGUUCUAUUUUUAAUCAACUGUGGAGUUUUUAAAUAUUGCAGUGGAGAUUUCACCUGAGAAAAGCUACAAGGCCUUUAAUAUUGUGUUAUGUGUGCACCCUUGUGUUAUGUGUUGUGUGUCUGUAUGUGCAUAUGUCCAUAUACCAUGUACAUGAUAGGAAGAUUGGCAGAUAUAUGAGGAUCACUCAUAAAAAAAUUAAAAAAAGAUGAAUCCAAAUAUUUUUGAUUUACGUGAUUUAAAUUGUUCAAUUUAAAUUGGGUGAACAAAAAACUUGUAAGCUUAAUUUUCAAUGCAUCUUAUUUUUCAAAAUAAAUAAGAUGUCUUUAAAAUUAAGCUUAAAAGUUUUUCUAGGUGUUCAAAAAAUACUAAUAAAAUGUUGAUGUCUAUGAAGUGUCUGAUAUGCUUUAGUUCUAGGACUUUUUUUCAACAGAACUUUUCUUCUACAAGGAAGAAAUGGCUAACACUGUUCAUUACGCUUGUCUGAUGUUUUGAUAAAAUAAGGAAAGUAAAUUAGACAUAGGAUUACUCAUUUAUAAGUACUUUUGUUAAAUAUCUGAUUGAUUAACAAAGUUAAUAUGCUAAAUGUUAAAUAUAACAUUGGGUACUCAUAACUCCUUGCAUUGCAUUGGGUAACAUUAUUGAUGAUAUUGUAAGUUGGUAAAUGUAGAAAAAAAGAUAUAAAGUUGCUUUGUCAUCCCUGAUACUUAGACACUGUGUUUUCAUGAAAUGAUAAACAGAUGUGAUUCUAGAUACAAGAGUUUAUACAAGAUCUCUUUAUACAAAAGUUCAAAAUUUCAACUGCUUCAAUUAAGAGUAAUGUAAGUAAAAACAAGUAUUUCUUUUUAUUAAUAUAAAAUAAUCUGCCUAAAAUUUACAAGGAAUUUAAACUUAGAAAUUUCAAAAAUUUACAAGUAUUGUUUUAAAAUGUGAACAGAAAAAUAAAGUUAACAGAUGGAAAGGAAAAUAAUAUUAGAGGGUUCUAGAUUUGAAAAUCAUAUUUAAUAGAAAAAAAGGGGUGUUUCUUUAUAAGAGAUACUUUAUGUGAUAAAGUAAAUAAGACUUUUUAAGUAAUUGAUAAAGAAGGUCUGUGUAAGUUUGUCUUCACAAUCAGUCAUAUGUUAAAAGGACAAAGAUUUCUUAAAACAUUAGUUUACCCAUAACCUUGUGUUUUAAUCAGUUGUUUUUCUUAUUUCCAGAGCAAGUAAUCUUACAGAAAUUAAGAAUAGUGUCUUUUAGAGAAUGGUACCAUGUUAUUUCUUUAAAAGCUAAAUUUGAUUAAUAUAAAAACAUAAAUGUAAUUGUGGUGCUAUUAAUAUGUUCUUAUCUUCCAUAUAUACAAGUCUAUAUGGUAGUAGCUUUAAAAGAGCUGUAUAUCAAACUAGUGUUCUAAAGUAGUAUGAAAUUUUAGGCUUAAGAGGAAAGAAAUAUUGGAGAUUUAUUUAUAUCAUUUGAUGUUCUAUUACUGGACCUGUUAUCAAUAAGAUAUUUAAAGUUUUAUGUUACUUUUUACACUGAUGUACAACUUAAAUGUAUGUUUAAGUUAAUGAGAGAGUAAUCUGCAUUAUGGUUAACAUUGUAACACACAAAAGUACUUUUCUAUUUUUUACAAAAUGUUUAAAUCUUUCAGCCUUUCUUUAUUUCAUGUUUUAAAUGUUAUAUCAUAUUAUGUUAGCUAAUAUUUACGUGAACUUGAGCACAAUUUAUUUGAGCUUUAUAAAAUGAUGUUCAAAAAGCAAAGAUCAACCUCCAAACUACAGCAUUUUACUUAAUAUUUAUUAAAAGCCCCACCUUGCUUAAGAUAAGGCUCUGUGUCCCAUUCCACUUCAUCUGAAAAUGACUACAAAAGAAGUAUGCUAGAUUUCAGUACAUUUAAGAUUGUGACCCAAAGUUGGUUUUUGUCAAAAUUACUAGGAUCUCAAAGAGGGGAAAAAUGGCUAUGGCUUAUAUACCUAAAAAUAUACUUAAUAAAAUCUUACUAACUUUAAAUUUUUAAAUGUUUGGUCAGCUUCUGAGGUUCUUGCAGCCCUGCAACAUUUCUCAACAUUUAAAUCACAGCCAUUAUUUCAAAAGUCAGAAAUACAUAUAUGGUACAGGCAUGAAAAUAAAGUGUGGAUUUCUGGGUCAUUGCACCAUAUGGGAACGGGGUUUGCUUUUAUUUCUACAGGCAAAAUGCCUUUUUAGGUACCUUCAGGACUUAUCAAAUUGCAGAAUGAGUGACCCAUUUGUCAGACAAUUUCAGGAGCUGGCAAUGCAGAGAACCUCUACGAUGGUGACAGAAACAGCAGAAUCCCCAACAUGAGGACAGAUGUAAAGGUUGACUCAAGAAGCUGAAAAAAAUCUUCUAUUAGCUAUGCUUGCAAUUAUUAAUUUCCAGGUAAGUACAGUUUCUGCUCAUUCUUUUGAUAAUUUGGCCUAUGUUCCUAAUCCUCCUUCAGUGCAUGCUGUUUCCUGGGGAGAACUUGAUGUUUGUGUAUGUACUGAUAAUAUUAAUUUCUUCCCUCCUCCAGUAUUUGGUGGAAUUGAAGAUAUACCAUUCCAUAAAAAUCUGUGUAAUAUUUCUAAUAUAACUGUAGCUGUUGAAGGAGUUCCAUUGUGUAAAGGGGCUUGUUUUUUUCUGUUUACUUCUUAUAGCACAUAAUGAUUCUCAUUCUUAUAUUACUUGGGGAACAUUAUCAUGUGUAGACUGUUUUUUUUUUACUCAAUGUAUAGAUAGAACUAAUUGGGGUUUAAUAGAAUUUAAUAAUUAUUCUUAGUUAUUGUUAAAACUCACAUGGAACUGUGGAAGCCUGUUAAUUUGACUUGGCCUUGGUCUGAUCCUUUGUCUGUUACUAAUUUGUUCAAUGCUGUUCAAGUUUUGUUACACUGCUCAUGACAAUUUAUAGAAAAAGUUAUAGCUUCAAUCCUUGCAGUUGCUUCUGUAAAUGCCACAGCUAUGAUAGCUGGCAUUGCUUUGAUUCAAGAAAUUCAAACUGCAGAUUUCAUGAGUGCAUGGGAUCAAGAUGCUCAUUUAUUAUGGCAACAACAAAAGGUUUUAGACUCUCAAUUGAAUACAGAUGUGAUAAAUCUACAACAUACUGUUUCCUGGCUUGGCAAUCAAGUAAGUAUUUUGGCUACCACAAGUGUUUUGAAGUGUGACUGGGAUUCUUCUCAUAUUUGUGUGACUCCUGUGCCAUAUAAUACAAGUGAUUCCAGGGAUGCUUUUAAAAGAUGGUAAAAUGGACAUCAAAAUUUAACUUUAGAAAUUAUGAAUUUGGAAAAAACUAUUAUGAACACCUUUAGUAAGACAUUACCUGAAUUGACAAGAUCUGACCUCUUACUAGAAUUGUCUUCAAAUAUUGCUAAUUUGAAUCCUUUAUGUCAUUUCUCUACCUUGUUGUCAACUUCUUUUGGUAACACUGUAACAAUUUUUGUUUUAUGUUUUGUUUUAUAUAGUCUUCCAAAGUCGGAAAAAGUGAAAGCAAUUGAAACAUAAAAUUUCUCUAAUUGUUUCUGCUUUGACUCAUUUACAGAAACAAAAUGAAGGCGAUAUAGAAAAUCAGACAUGACUAUGAGUGUGCUUGCAACAAGUCGCCCUGCUGUCUUGGUGGAGCUUGCCUUCAAAAAGGAUAUUCAGCCAAGGUUUAGAUAAGGUGACUGUGAACAUGCUUGCAAAUGAGAUGCCUUGCUGUCUUUGAUGGAGCUAGCCUGCAAACUGGAUGUUCUUCCAAGUACAGUAGGAGGGCUCUGAGAAAAUUUUAUCUGUUGUUAGCAAAGAGCGGAGUUCAGAAUGCUCCAGCCCAAGAGUAGAUUAAGCCAUGAGAAGCACAUAACUUUUGAUUAGUAAGUUACUUCUGUAUAUUAUGUUUAGCUAGCUUAAAGACCUGAAUCAUUGGUUUUGGAAUGCUGCCUUUUUUGUUCACAAUACUAUAAACAGACUGCUGUAUUCAAUAAAGGG